AUGACGGAUGCUUCGGAUGUCUACGAGCGUCUGGUAUUGAUGUGUAAUGCUGACCCACUUUAUUUGAUGGGGAGCUGGAAAGAAGGAAGCAAUGACUGAAGGAAAGGAACGGUGGAAGGAAGGUCUCCUCCUCCUCUUCCUCCUUUCGCUCUCCUUCCCUGCUGCUCAUGUCCCACAGUGCUGUGUUUAAGUGUGUGAGUUGACCAAAGUGGCCUCCAGGGGGUGAAAAGCAACAGGUGAGAGCAGAGAAGGAAACAAAGAAGAAUUGGACAGCUGAUUCUGGGCUGGGAGAGCUUGGAGAAGAUAAACUGUUGAAAGAGCAGAGGAAUGUGAGUAAGACGUGACCGCCUUACCAUGGUUGUAUGCUUGAAAGGAAAGAGGUGCAACGCUAUAAUGUGGAAAAAAAGGAAAUGGCAGCAAUAGUAAUUGUGCUAAUGGGUUUGUAUAUAUUGAUUGUAGAGGUUAUAGCUUUUGAGGGAUUUUUUGUCAGCCUUCUUCGCUCUUCCCCAUUGAUCUUAAGCCCCCCAAUUGCAUUGUUGGACUCUUUCCUAUUUCAUCUAAACUGUUGUCAUUGAGGUACACCAUUAACUCUGCUGUAAUAAAACAUCCGAGGUAAAAGCUAUUGCAUCCUCAUACUGUACAUUCUCUAACUUUCCAUUUUCUAUUUUAAGCCUUGACUUCUCCAAUUAAGUGCAACUAACUGAGGCAGCCAG